GGCUGGAUGGUGUAGUUGGUUAUCACGUAUCGUUCACAGUUGGAUCAUCCACUGGUUCCGAUAAGGUCCUGGGAUCGAACCCCAGUCUAGUCA
rnacentral:tRNA from 1 species